GAAUGUUAUCACGGGAGACACACGGCGGGUGCUAACGUCCGUCGUGAAGAGGGAAACAACCCAGACCGCCAGCUAAGGUCCCAAAGUCAUGGUUAAGUGGGAAACGAUGUGGGAAGGCCCAGACAGCCAGGAUGUUGGCUUAGAAGCAGCCAUCAUUUAAAGAAAGCGUAAUAGCUCACUGGUCGAGUCGGCCUGCGCGGAAGAUGUAACGGGGCUAAACCAUGCACCGAAGCUGCGGCAGCGACACUUUAGUGUUGUUGGGUAGGGGAGCGUUCUGUAAGCCGUUGAAGGUGUCCUGUGAGGGGUGCUGGAGGUAUCAGAAGUGCGAAUGCUGACAUAAGUAACGAUAAAGCGGGUGAAAAGCCCGCUCGCCGGAAGACCAAGGGUUCCUGUCCAACGUUAAUCGGGGCAGGGUGAGUCGACCCCUAAGGCGAGGCCGAAAGGCGUAGUCGAUGGGAAACGGGUUAAUAUUCCCGUACUUGGUGUUACUGCGAAGGGGGGACGGAGAAGGCUAUGUUGGCCGGGCGACGGUAGUCCCGGUUUAAGCGUGUAGGCUGGUUUUCCAGGCAAAUCCGGAAAAUCAAGGCUGAGGCGUGAUGACGAGGCACCACGGUGCUGAAGCAACAAAUGCCCUGCUUCCAGGAAAAGCCUCUAAGCAUCAGGUAACAUCAAAUCGUACCCCAAACCGACACAGGUGGUCAGGUAGAGAAUACCAAGGCGCUUGAGAGAACUCGGGUGAAGGAACUAGGCAAAAUGGUGCCGUAACUUCGGGAGAAGGCACGCUGACACGUAGGUGAAGUGAUUUACUCAUGGAGCUGAAGUCAGUCGAAGAUACCAGCUGGCUGCAACUGUUUAUUAAAAACACAGCACUGUGCAAACACGAAAGUGGACGUAUACGGUGUGACGCCUGCCCGGUGCCGGAAGGUUAAUUGAUGGGGUCAGCGCAAGCGAAGCUCCUGAUCGAAGCCCCGGUAAACGGCGGCCGUAACUAUAACGGUCCUAAGGUAGCGAAAUUCCUUGUCGGGUAAGUUCCGACCUGCACGAAUGGCGUAAUGAUGGCCAGGCUGUCUCCACCCGAGACUCAGUGAAAUUGAACUCGCUGUGAAGAUGCAGUGUACCCGCGGCAAGACGGAAAGACCCCGUGAACCUUUACUAUAGCUUGACACUGAACAUUGAGCCUUGAUGUGUAGGAUAGGUGGGAGGCUUUGAAGCGUGGACGCCAGUCUGCGUGGAGCCGACCUUGAAAUACCACCCUUUAAUGUUUGAUGUUCUAACGUGGACCCGUAAUCCGGGUUGCGGACAGUGUCUGGUGGGUAGUUUGACUGGGGCGGUCUCCUCCUAAAGAGUAACGGAGGAGCACGAAGGUUGGCUAAUCCUGGUCGGACAUCAGGAGGUUAGUGCAAUGGCAUAAGCCAGCUUGACUGCGAGCGUGACGGCGCGAGCAGGUGCGAAAGCAGGUCAUAGUGAUCCGGUGGUUCUGAAUGGAAGGGCCAUCGCUCAACGGAUAAAAGGUACUCCGGGGAUAACAGGCUGAUACCGCCCAAGAGUUCAUAUCGACGGCGGUGUUUGGCACCUCGAUGUCGGCUCAUCACAUCCUGGGGCUGAAGUAGGUCCCAAGGGUAUGGCUGUUCGCCAUUUAAAGUGGUACGCGAGCUGGGUUUAGAACGUCGUGAGACAGUUCGGUCC
rnacentral:rRNA from 1 species